UACAGAGGGUGCGAGCGUUGUCCGGAUCACUGGGCGUAAAGGGCGCGUAGGCGGCCUGACAAGUGGAUGGUGAAAUCCCUCGGCUUAACCGAGGAACUGCCAUCCAGACUGUUUGGCUUGAGACCGGGAGAGGUGAGUGGAAUUCCCAGUGUAGCGGUGAAAUGCGUAGAUAUUGGGAGGAACACCAGUGGCGAAGGCGGCUCACUGGACCGGUACUGACGCUGAUGCGCGAAAGCGUGGGGAGCAAACGGG
rnacentral:rRNA from 1 species